UAUUCCCUUCUCAGUUCGAGUUUAUUUAUUAUAUACACAUGAUAUAAACUGCGUGUACAAAACAUUAGGAAAACCUGUUUAUUCCAUGACAUAGACUGACCAGGUGAAUCCAGGUGAAAGCUGUGAUCCCUUAUUGAUGUCACCUAGAGCUGUGUGGGUCAUGACAUAGACUGACCAGGUGAAUCCAGGUGAAAGCUAUGAUCCCUUAUUGAUGUCACCUAGAGCUGUGUGGGUCAUGACAUAGACUGACCAGGUGAAUCCAGGUGAAAGCUAUGAUCCCUUAUUGAUGUCACCUAGGUCUGUCUCGAUCAUGACAUAGACUGACCAGGUGAAUCCAGGUGAAAGCUGUGAUCCCUUAUUGAUAUCACCGAGGGCUGUGUGGGUCAUGACAUUCUGUCAGCCGGUGAUUGUCAUGCAGAUAACUGACAGUCUCAUGGUAAUUGACCCUUAAAGGUCCCCAAAGCCCACACAUAAUUGACCCUUUGUCUACACCAUCACAAUAACUCCAUGUAAUAUAUUCUACACCAUCACAAUAACUCCAUGUAAUAUAUUCUACACCAUCACAAUAACUCCAUGUAAUAUAUUAUACACCAUCACAAUAACUCCAUGUAAUAUAUUAUACACCAUCACAAUAACUCCAUGUAAUAUAUUCUCCACCAUCACAAUAACUCCAUGUAAUAUAGUCUACACCAUCACAAUAACUCCAUGUAAUAUAUUCUACACCAUCACAAUAACUCCAUGUAAUAUAUUCUACACCAUCACAAUAACUCCAUGUAAUAUAGUCUACACCAUCACAAUAACUCCAUGUAAUAUAUUCUACACCAUCACAAUAACUCCAUGUUGUCAUGUACUGUCAUGUUGUCUUGUCUCUGUCCUUUCCCUUCACCCUGUCUCCCUCUGCUGGUCGUGUCAGGUUACCUUUUCUCCCCUUCUUUCCCCCAGCUGUUCCCUGUCUCCUCCUAACUACCCAUUCACCCCGUUCCCCACCUGUUCCCUUUUUCCCUCUGAUUAGGUCCCUAUAUCUCUCUCUGUUUCUGCUCCUGUCCUUGUCGGAUUCUUGUUUGUUUGUGUUUCAUGCCUGAGCCAGACUAUCGUCAUGUUUGCUGUAACCUUGUCCUGUCCUGUCGGAAUCUGCCGGUCUAUCUGAGCCUACCUAUGUUUUGUUAUUAAAGAGGCUCUGUUUAAGUUAGUUCGCUUUUGGGUCCUCAUUCACUCACCAUA
rnacentral:lncRNA from 1 species